rnacentral:rRNA from 1 species
UACGUAGGGUGCGAGCGUUGUCCGGAAUUACUGGGCGUAAAGAGCUCGUAGGUGGUUUGUCGCGUUGUUCGUGAAAUCUCACGGCUUAACUGUGAGCGUGCGGGCGAUACGGGCAGACUAGAGUACUGCAGGGGAGACUGGAAUUCCUGGUGUAGCGGUGGAAUGCGCAGAUAUCAGGAGGAACACCGGUGGCGAAGGCGGGUCUCUGGGCAGUAACUGACGCUGAGGAGCGAAAGCGUGGGGAGCGAACAGGAUUAGAUACCCUGGUAGUCCACGCCGUAAACGGUGGGUACUAGGUGUGGGUUUCCUUCCUUGGGAUCCGUGCCGUAGCUAACGCAUUAAGUACCCCGCCUGGGGAGUACGGCCGCAAGGCUAAACUCAAAGAA